rnacentral:lncRNA from 1 species
UUUAUAAGAUGAUGAAGAAAUUUUGGUCAUCUUCUCUGAGGAUGGUUCUUCUUCGAGAUUUCUUUGCCUCUUUGAUUCACUUUUCUCAACUAUUGCAAAAAUAGAAGUUAAUAGUUGGAAUCGAAAUCAGAUUUUGGAUAUAGGGUUUACGAUAUAUGAAAAAGUCGAAAUGCUAAUGAGAUAACAAAUCGAAUAGAUACGAAGGGAAAGCGAAGAAGAAAUCCAUGGAAAAUGGGUCAAAACGAAGAUUUACAGUCGUAUUUUGCUGGAGAGAAGAAAUCGCUUGCUGUAGAAUCGGUGUUUCAGGGAGAUUAGGGCUUGCUGUAGAAUCGGGUUAGGGUUUGAUUUUGAUUUUAC